rnacentral:sRNA from 1 species
GGAAUUCGGCCAGCCCGCGGGAGGCCCUUCUGUGGCUGCUCGGGGCGGGGCUAGGGGGCUUUGCUGCUGUAUCCCUGGAACGGUGGGCGGGGAUGUGCCGGGCAGAGAGAACUGAGGGAAAGGGGCUGUUUGCCACACAGCUCAUCCGGAAGGGGGAGACCAUCUUCGUAGAACAGCCCCUGGUGGCUGCACAGUUUCUCUGGAAUGCACUUUAUCGCUACCGAGAAUGGUGCCUGGCACAUAGCAGCUGCUCUGUAGGGCUGUGAAAGGGAUAGAUGUGGCCUCUGCUCUCAAGACAUUGUUGUGUCUGGCUCUCACCGUCAGCCUGUGACCACUGCCUUAGGGCACUAGAGAAGGCAGAGGAGAAUGCCCAGAGGCUGACCGGGAAACCAGGCCAGGUUCUGCCUCACCCAGAGCUGUGCACUGUGCGCAAAGACCUCCACCAGAACUGUCCCCAUUGCCAAGUGAUGUACUGCAGUGCAGAAUGUCGGUUGGCAGCCACUGAGCAAUACCACCAGGUCCUGUGCCCAGGCCCCUCCCAGGAUGACCCCUUGCAUCCUCUCAAUAAGCUUCAGGAGGCAUGGAGGAGUAUUCACUACCCACCUGAGACUGCAAGCAUCAUGUUGAUGGCUAGGAUGGUGGCCACAGUGAAGCAGGCGAAGGACAAGGACCGUUGGAUCAGACUCUUUUCCCAGUUUUGUAACAAAACAGCCAAUGAAGAGGAGGAAAUUGUCCAUAAACUUCUGGGAGACA